GACGAACGCUGGCGGCGUGCUUAACACAUGCAAGUCGAACGGAAAGGCCCUGCUUUUGUGGGGUGCUCGAGUGGCGAACGGGUGAGUAACACGUGAGUAACCUGCCCUUGACUUUGGGAUAACUUCAGGAAACUGGGGCUAAUACCGGAUAGGAGCUCCUGCUGCAUGGUGGGGGUUGGAAAGUUUCGGCGGUUGGGGAUGGACUCGCGGCUUAUCAGCUUGUUGGUGGGGUAGUGGCUUACCAAGGCUUUGACGGGUAGCCGGCCUGAGAGGGUGACCGGCCACAUUGGGACUGAGAUACGGCCCAGACUGCUACGGGAGGCAGCAGGGGGGAAUAUUGCACAAUGGGCGGAAGCCUGAUGCAGCAACGCCGCGUGCGGGAUGACGUCCUUCGGGUGGUAAACCGCUUUCGCCUGUGACGAAGCGUGAGUGACGGUAAUGGGUAAAGAAGCACCGGCUAACUACGUG
rnacentral:rRNA from 1 species